rnacentral:rRNA from 1 species
AGAGAUGGAUUGGUGCCUUCGGGAACUUAGAUACAGGUGCUGCAUGGCUGUCGUCAGCUCGUGUCGUGAGAUGUUGGGUUAAGUCCCGCAACGAGCGCAACCCUUUUCCUUAUUUGCCAGCGGGUUAAGCCGGGAACUUUAAGGAUACUGCCAGUGACAAACUAGAGGAAGGCGGGGACGACGUCAAGUCAUCAUGGCCCUUACGGCCAGGGCUACACACGUGCUACAAUGGUCGGUACAAAGGGUUGCUACCUCGCGAGAGGAUGCUAAUCUCAAAAAGCCGAUCGUAGUCCGGAUCGCAGUCUGCAACUCGACUGCGUGAAGUCGGAAUCGCUAGUAAUCGCGGAUCAGAAUGCCGCGGUGAAUACGUUCCCGGGCCUUGUACACACCGCCCGUCACACCAUGGGAGUUUGUUGCACCAGAAGUAGGUAGUCUAACCGCAAGGAGGACGCUUACCACGGUGUGGCCGAUGACUGGGGUGAAGUCGUAACAAGGUAGGCGUAGAUGA